GAGACGCCCAUCACCUAUACUGUUGUUCUAAUCUAAGCUAUCAGCAAAGCCAGCAUUGUGCUGUUUUUUCUAUAACACCUACUAUUCAUGAAGAACGUUAGAGUUUGCACAUACAGAAAUUUCAGUGCAACAAUGCUGUAAGGCAGGACAGUAUUGUCACCAUUUUGCAGAUGGGCAUCUGUGGCUGAAAACCAACGCAAAGGCAUCUCGUAAGCUCUUGAGCUAAGGCAAUACUUGAGCCAUCACAUUCUACUUUAUAUCACAGCAAUGCAAUAGCUACUCAGAAGCAAGUCCACCUGAAUUCAAUGAGGCUUAUUCCCAGGGUCUCCUUUAAGCAUCUUCAGGAAGACUACAGGCAACCAUAUCAUUUACAUCCAGCGCCUUCAGUAGAACAAAUGGAUGAGCAGAGCCUUCAAACUUGACGCGCUCGUUUUGCCAGACCUUCGAGCAGAAAGAGAGAGAGAGACAGAGAGACGGCGGCACACCACCCGCGGCCAGACCUGCUACCCUGGAAGAGCCCACGUGCUCUCCGUGGGGAUGAUGCCUGGCUCAGACGGCCUUUCCUCUUUGGGCUCCGCGGCUCACGCCCAUCCUGACGUUCAAUCUUUGUUCAGCUCUUUCUCCGUCGUCGUCCCUGCCGCCUCCAGUUGGCUUCGCCUGCCGUUAGGAGAGUGACACCGUGAGCAUAACGGUUGAGUGGAUCCCCCUCUUGGAGCCUAAUGGAUCAGUCUGGACCACUACCAAUCCCCUCUGAAGAGGGAGGCAAAGACGUCUCUGAAAGAAUUGUACAAGGAAGGAUGCUAUCCAGAGAUCUGGCCAACUUAUUCAGAAAGAGAAGAGAGUCUGCUGCUACCAUCCGUCUUGAGUUAUAAGGACGCGUCGAUCACAAGGAAAGAAAAAAAUAGCUUCGCUUCACUCUGGUUAACGAAUAGGGCCACUCUCUCCCUACAUCCAUGUGUUUGUAUACCUGUUUAUAUACAACCCUUCAUACGUCCGAUGAAGUCGAUGUAGAAUCUAGUUCACGAAAUGAGUUACCACAUUUUUAUGUUUAUUGUUUAUUGUUGCUAUCUGCCUCGGGAAUGAACACAAGAACAAACUACACGAGGAUUUGGGGCGAGGGGGCGGUGCAACUUGAACGUCUAUAUCCUCCUGUCAAGGAGUAGGGAGCAGCGGCUACGUGAACAGUUGUCUAUAUUUACCCAGUCACUGACAUAAUUUAAAAGUAAUGAUCAAUACAAACAUCAUGCAGCGAAAGCCUACCUUUUAACCCAGCGACAGAGAACCUAUACCUCUCCAAACGUUGUUGGACUACUACUCCCAUCACUCACCCCUAAUCAUUGGUCACGGUGGCUGGAGUCCAACAACGUUUGGCGGGGUAUGGGCUCUCCGUAGCUGGGUAAAAACACAAGCCUGCAUUAACCGCUUCUUCUGUUACUCAGAAGUAAGCCCCACUGGGUUAAAAGGGACUUAAUUCCAACCAAGUGAUUUUGCUGUGACUACAAAAGGGCUGAAUCGUUUUCGAGAAACUAAUCAAAAUUCAGCAAACGGCUACAUAAUGAGUUUGGCACAAUUGUGUCCCAUUGGCUUCGGCAAGAAUUGUUUGUGCAUAAAUGCAGAAGUUGUAACUAAGGAGUAUGAAACCCUGCUCAGCAGAGGGGCUUAUCAAGCUUUGUGUAGAAGUUCACAGAAAAGAAUUCAUACAGUGUUCUUCUUAGUACAGAAGUAAAUUCUUUUAAGAUCAAUGGAACUUAAUAGAUCCAUUGUUCUAAAUAGAUCCAUUGAACUAAGCACCUAUUAAGUAUGCUUAGCAUUUUGCAGUCAGGAGGCAGGGAAGCAGCCAUAAAAACUCUUAUUCACCAUCCAAAACCAAAGCAAUUUUGAUACCCAAAAGCGCUAUGGCAUACAGUUAACUAUGCUAUUUGAUGACACUGGUCAUUUUCUUACAAUAUUAAUAGGCACUUUUGUGUGAUUAGGUCCAGAAGAUGUAGUGAAUGAGAAGAAUAGUUUUAGGAAUAUACAAACAAAUUACCCCCGGGGUAAGAGUAUUCCUCCAUCUCUCUACCUGUUGUACACGAGUUCUGUUUGGAUAUGGCUGAAAUACAGAAAAUAGGAAUCAUGACCUUCAGGUUUCUUUCUAGCUUUUGUACUCUGAGAAACUUUUCAGCUUUACAAAUAAAAAGGGAGCAUUAGUUCCUUGGCAAAUAUUCCAAAUUCUACAUCACACAGUUUGACUUUAUUGGUUUGGCAGUCCUAACUGAA